UUGCACGUUCCUUUUUCCCACGUCACGCCGGUUUCCUUGUUUGAUUUUUCCUUCUCCCAUCACGCCGCGCGCCUCGCCACCACGCCGCGCAUGGGUUCGUGACCACGCCGUGCCACCACGCCUCGCGGACGGCUAUUGCUCCCCGCGGCCACGACGCCCCAUCAUGGCCGAUCCUCGCUCCUCCUCUCCACGCUUCCUUCCUCGGCGGAGGGCGAGCACGCGGAGCCGUCGGUAGGGGCGGGAGCAGAGCAGCAGAUGUGGUGGCCGCGAGUUCCCCUUUCACAUCGCGCCGCCAUCCCGAUCCUCGCUCCCCUGGACUGCGAGUGGGGGUCUGAGCUGCGGCGGGCCGGAGUUGGGUCCUGCAGGAGCUUCUGCAGACGGAGUCCUAGCAAUGGGCGAUGCGCUGCGUUGGCUGCGGUGGGCAAGUGAAGAUGCUCUUCGUGCAGUAUUCCCGGCCAACAUCCGCUUGAUGAAAUGCCUCUGAAUGCUACGAUCAUCUUUGUGCCUAGGAUAACUGCAAGGCUCUUGCUGAUCCCUGCAUCGAUUGUGAAUUCAUGAUCAUCUUGAUUGAUCUGAUCCUGCACAAGACAAGGGCGUACCACCAUAUUCUGUUUAAUAAGCUGGCAUGUGGGAUCAUCUGUUGACAAGGUAUGAAUCUAUGAUGUCCAGAUAGACUAACAUUUUUGUGUGGAUUAGUGGUGUAAUUCCUUGUGCAGCUCGUCGAGAAGCGAUUGGUCUGGGCAGGCAAGCCCUCGACGGCUCGAUGAUCAGCAUACAGGUCUCCAAAUUUUCAUUUCUGAAUUUUUGAGGCGCAUUGGUUUAUCCAUGCAUAUGUGUAAUUGGACUGAGAUGUAGCAAACCUGUUUCACAAAAACAUACUUGACCCGUGAAGACUCCAACUGUGAGUGGUGUCAUGGCAUCCUCGAGACAGACGCUCACAUUUUCAUCCAUCACCCCACUGUGGUGGCGCUUUGGUCCCGUCUGGGGAUCUCUCCGUUGAUGUCUUUCCAUUCUCACUGGUGUUCUUAUUGGUGCUUGAGGCAAUUAGUUUGCUAAAUAGGUAUGAAGUUGGCAGUGAUUGCCCAAUGGGAUAUUUGUUUUUCUGGUUCUAGGAAGAAACCUCAUGGAUCUGUUUUAGACGUGUUUGGUCGGUCUUUUGUACCACUCCAUGGUUCCUCCUCAUCAUGGAUCAAGAGAGGUGGCAAUUAAGGAUACAAGCCGUGUUCCUUUCAUUCGGGUGGUUUACUCUUAUCAACUGUUCAUGCAUCACGGACUUGGAUGACAGGGACCUUGGGUUCUUCAUGGAGGCUUGUGGACAAAAUCAAUGUCUGAUGGCAACCAAAGCUAUAGUUGAUCAGAUCCAGGGUAUGUGCUAAAUUUAUUGAGAUGAUUACGAUCAAACAGGGAUUUUUUUUAUCUCCUAUCCCAGGUUGCUUGGUCGAAGGUGCAUAAACAUGUAUCACUCUUAUUGAAAGCCGCAUAUGGUUGUCGUCACUUGAAGAUACCAGAAUUAGACUGAGAGAGGACGAAUGGGUGUUCAAUCAUCAAACACCUACUGUUGAUUGCAUUCAUCCGGAGAAGUGAGGGUGGUAUAUUCACGUUUCAGAGAUGUAUUUGCAAAAUCUAAAAAGUUGAACAUGGUGUAUAAGACAAGCUGAUUUGUUGCUACACUCACACGAUGAUGGAAGAACAUUUGCCUAUAAUUGAGAGUAUGGUGCAUCACUAUGCUGGGCACGACAAGUGUUCAUUAACCAUGCAUGGAUAGCAACUGAUCAAUUCUCUACAUCAAGCUCACAUGUGAUCGUCAUGUUGACGUGUUGAUGCACCAUAUGUUUGUGUUGAUGCACCAUAUGUUUACUAUUGGGUCGGAAAAAUUUUAUUUGAACCAUGUGUACUUCUUGGAGUUGUAUGGAUGAUAUAUAGGGCCAGUUUGGUAGAGCUCCAACUGAUCCUGAUUCUCUGUGAGAGCUGAUUCUCUGAUAGAAGUGAUUCUGUGGCUGAAGGUGAUUCUCUUUGAUUGUCUAGCAUAAACUUUUAAAAUCAGGAUGGAGAAUCACUUCACAGAAUCAGGAGAAGCUACUUUUUUCAGCUCCCAGUCUCUUAGUUCAUUUCAGAGAAUCACUCCACAGAAUCAGCAGAGAAUCACUUCUCUCUGAAAAACUGUUUGGCAGAGCUCUUGCUGGAUUCAGCAGAGAAUCAGCUCUAGGAGCUCUGCCAAACUGGCCCAUAUACUGCCACUCAAUUGAAUAAAGUUAACAAUCCUUGUCAUGGUCAUUCAUA